GACCCCGUUUCUGAAAGAAAAUGUGUUAUGCUUUAAAUCUCUCUAGAACAAAGUCCCACCUUACCUGGAAGAACCAUGAAGAUCAAAUAGAAGGUCCUUGUGCAUGAAGCUCAGCGGAAAAAAGCUCGGAUUAUUAAAUAUAUUGCUGGCCUGGCAAAAAGUAAAAGAGAAAUCCUUAAAGACCACAAAUAAUGGAACAUAUGAAUUCAGAAAGAUGUAGGGGUUGGAGACAGUUGUCGCUCAAGGUGCAAACUCCGGGCUGGCGCUGUGUGUGAACAGAUAACAACAAAAUGUAUGUGGCUGAGUCCACUAGGAAGACGCUUCUGUACCACAUGGAGUUCUCUGAAUUAACUUCCAGAUAUAUUAAAAUUAUUAAUGAUGUCGCUGCUGUGGCAUGGGCCUUGAGGAGCUCAUCUAUACCACGACAAGAGCACCCUCAUUUGUCUCUCGGUCUCCUUUUUCACCCAAGGUUGAACCAGGAGCUGGAUACAGAGGUUAUGCCCUCUACUUGGUGUGUAUCUACUCACUCUUUCGGAGUUCCAGAGACUUUGCUUCUAGGCCCCAAGGAGAGAUGUAUCUAUUUCUCUUACCAAUAGAUUCCUUGGGGAUAGUGCCUGACACACAACAGAGUCUUGCUAUGUUGCCCAGGCUAGUUUCCAACUCCUGGUUUCAAGAGAUCCUUCCGCCUUGGCCUCCCAAAGUGUUCGGAUUACAGGCGUGAGCCACUGCACCUGGCGAUCCUUAUUUUCUUUUGGUUGGGCAUGAUUAGUUGACUCCACACACGAAAAUGCAGCAUGUUCUAUUGUUUUGCACUUUGAGUUUUGUUUAACAAAGCAUCCUGCAACUCUUUGUAUAUCAUUAAAAAGAAAACUAUCAUUUUUCAACAUCACUGCA
ensembl:lncRNA LINC00529 long intergenic non-protein coding RNA 529